GGUUACGGCCAUACCACCUUAGGCACGCCCGAUCUCGUCUGAUCUCGGAAGCUAAGCAGGGUCGGGGCUGGUUAGUACUUGGAUGGGUGACCGCCUGGGAAUACCAGGUGCUGUAAGCA
ensembl:rRNA 5S_rRNA 5S ribosomal RNA